rnacentral:rRNA from 1 species
CGGGAACAAGGGAAAUUGACGGGAACUCAAAUAAAUUGACGGGGCUCAAUGUAUUGACGGGAACUCAAAUAAAUUGACGGGGCUGUGCCAGCAGCCGCAACAAGCAACUCAAAUGAAUUGACGGGACGUGUGCCAGCAGCCGCCAACUCAAAUAAAUUGACGGGAACUCAGUGAAAUUGACGGGAACUCAAAGAAAUUGACGGGGCGUGUGCCAGCAGCCGCAUAGCAACUGUGCCAGCAGCCGCCAACUCAAAUAAAUUGACGGGGCUCAAUGUAUUGACGGGAACUCAAAUGAAUUGACGGGA